rnacentral:lncRNA from 1 species
GCUGAAUAGACUGCUCAACCUCUCUGAGGCUGGUGUUCUUAUCUUCAAACGGGGAUAAAAGAUCUACCAGUCUAGGCUAGAAGUCUGAAAUCAAGGCAUCGGGAGGCCAUGCUCCAAGACUCUGAGUGGAACCCUCUUUGCCUUUUCCUGACUUCUGGUGGUGCCGGCGGCCCUUGAUGUUCUUGGCUCUUUAAGCAUCUCUGCAACCUCUGCCAUCAUCU